AAGAAUUUCGAAAUGCGAUCUCGACUCAGUUAAAAGACAUGCAAGAGAACUUAAAAGACAUGCAAGAGAAAGCAGACCUUAUGGAGUCAAAGAGAAAAGAAGAGGAGACGUUCCGGAGUACGAUGCUGAAUAGGACUAAUCAAGCGGUAGGUUUAAGAAAUACUGUGUGGAUAAGGG